GAUGAACGCUGGCGGCGUGCCUAAUACAUGCAAGUCGAGCGAACAGACGAGGAGCUUGCUCCUCUGACGUUAGCGGCGGACGGGUGAGUAACACGUGGAUAACCUACCUAUAAGACUGGGAUAACUUCGGGAAACCGGAGCUAAUACCGGAUAAUAUAUUGAACCGCAUGGUUCAAUAGUGAAAGACGGUUUUGCUGUCACUUAUAGAUGGAUCCGCGCCGCAUUAGCUAGUUGGUAAGGUAACGGCUUACCAAGGCAACGAUGCGUAGCCGACCUGAGAGGGUGAUCGGCCACACUGGAGCUGAGACACGGUCCAGACGCCUACGAGAGGCAGCAGUAGGGAAUCGUACGCAAUGGGCGAAAGCCUGACGGAGCAACGCCGCGUGAGUGAUGAAGGUCUUCGGAUCGUAAAACUCUGUUAUUAGGGAAGAACAAAUGUGUAAGUAACUAUGCACGUCUUGACGGUACCUAAUCAGAAAGCCACGGCUAACUACGUG
rnacentral:rRNA from 1 species